GUAGUCCACGCCGUAAACGAUGGUCACUAGAUGUGGGGGGUGUCGACUCCCCCCGUGUCGUAGCUAACGCGUUAAGUGACCCGCCUGGGGAGUACGGCCGCAAGGCUAAAACUCAAAGGAAUUGACGGGGACCCGCACAAGCAGCGGAGCAUGUGGAUUAAUUCGACGCAACGCGAAGAACCUUACCUGGGCUUGACAUACUGCUGACCUCUGUGGAAACACAGACUCCCUUCGGGGCAGCAAUACAGGUGGUGCAUGGCUGUCGUCAGCUCGUGUCGUGAGAUGUUGGGUUGAGUCCCGCAACGAGCGCAACCCCCGUCCUAUGUUGCCAGCAUUCAGUUGGGGACUCAUAGGAGACUGCCGGUGACAAACCGGA
rnacentral:rRNA from 1 species